UUAUCAAGCUUGAUUUGUUAUAUGCUUUUUCUCAGUGCAUGGUUAGUUGGCUUCGUCAUUUCUAAGCAUGGAACUUGUUGCAGGUGCUUCAUUAAUUAAUGAAGUCUUGCAGAAUACAUCUGCUACCUUGACAAAUCAUGCUAUAAACCCUAUGGCUUCAACGGUGAGAGGAGCAGGUGCUCCCGUUGCUCCACUCUACCAAACUAUGUUUGGUAAUACGGCAAGCCCUGUUAGAAAUCCCUGGGUCGUACCAUUAGUGGCAAAUGCAGGUAAGUUUGCAAACCCUGUGCUGAGAACACCUGCUGCUCCAGUCUCACAGACAACAUUGGCAAGUCAUGUGCGAACUCCUGGUGCUCCAUUCUUGGGUCGUGCUCCAGUCUUACAGACGAUGUUUGCAAGCGAUGUCCCAUCUUCGGCACUCCAGUCUCACAGACAAUGUUUGCAAGCUAUGUGCCAACCUCUGGUGCUCCAUUCUCAGGGACCAUGUUUCAGGCUCCAGUCUCACAGACUGUGUUUGGCUGAAUAUCAAACCCGGAUAAAAGCUCUGGAAUUUCAUUGAUGACAAACGCAGGCACAAAUAAGCAUCCGAGUCAAGAGAAUGCAGAGAGCUCACAGCAGGCCUUGAAUCCAGAACACCAUCCAAGGGCAGAGCUAAGUACUUCUAAUGAUCAAGAUCUUGCUCCAGAAAGGCAACGCACAACUGGGGCCUUAGGUGAAAUAAUUCUGACAUCGGUGACCAAAACUGAGGCUGCAGAUUUGGCACAUUGAACUUGACCACCUAGCUGAAAAAGUCAAUUAACUAGUUACCUGCUGCUAAAUAAUUUGCUAGUCGCAUUGGUCCUGCU